ACAUUUUAAUUUCACAACAUUAUCCAUUGCAGUUAUAUAAUGAAGCAAUCUUCCACUAAACCAAGUAAUUUAAUGGUGGAACAUAUUUAUAUUUUUUCUUAAUUUUUUUUAAAACACAAAAGUCAUACUCCAAGUGAUUAAAAUUUCCACUUAAGGAGGAUCUAAAUUUAAAAUUUGGGUAUAACAACUUUUUGUAUAACAAUACCAACCUACUCAUUAAAU
rnacentral:lncRNA from 1 species